UACGUAGGGAGCAAGCGUUGUCCGGAAUCAUUGGGCGUAAAGAGCUCGUAGGCGGUCUGUCGCGUCGGAUGUGAAAACCCAGGGCUCAACCCUGGGCCUGCAUUCGAUACGGGCAGACUAGAGUUCGGUAGGGGAGACUGGAAUUCCUGGUGUAGCGGUGAAAUGCGCAGAUAUCAGGAGGAACACCGGUGGCGAAGGCGGGUCUCUGGGCCGAAACUGACGCUGAGGAGCGAAAGCGUGGGGAGCAAACAGG
rnacentral:rRNA from 1 species